UACACGCACACGUGUGCGUUUGUGUGUGCGUGUCCGCGUCGCGGGGGUGCGCCGGGCACUGCCGUUCCUCUCCCUUCCCAGCCAGGAGCCCGCCGAGGAGGGCACGGGCCCUGGCUGCAUCCCCGGGAAGGGCGGACAGACCUGCUUUUUUAGGGCUGCUUUGUUGAGCCUUCCCCAUCGCCACAUGGCGCUGCCCCGGUGUGGGAAGCGUGUGAGGGGUUGACCAGGCUUGCCCGCGCCGCAUCGGACGAAGGGCAGAAUUAAGACGUCCCCAUUGAAUCCCGCAAGUGCCCGGCAGAAACGUGUGGUAGCCCCCAAGAGACGGGGAGAAACCCGCCGGGGCGAGCUCGUCCCCGUUUCGGAGCGGUCAAUGGAGCCAGAGCAGUAAGGGAGAUUCACCUCUCCAUCCUGUCCCGUUCCUCCAGCACCGCGCUGCCCCGUUAGCUCCCGGCUGAUCCGGCAUCACCCGGCGACAGGGCACGCGUGCAGUAAAAAAAAUCAUCCACACAAAAGCAGGCGCUGCGCUCGGGGAGCGUCAGGAUCCACAACUUUUAUUUUGCGAACACGAUGGGCGCACAUUUUGCAGGAAACAACUUCCCAGUAUUUUGGCAUCGGAAAAGUGCGCUUUGUGCUUUGCACAUGCCCCGUCAGGUUGGUAAACCUUCAAGCGCCGGGAGCCGGAGGAACGGGAACAUGUGGAUGCUCAAUCCGUUUUCGGCAGAUGCUGGGCUCGGCGCGGCGGCACGGCCGGCCGGGACACGGGCGGGCUGAGCCCGCUGCCCACGCCGCCGCCCGCGGCUCUCCGUAAUCGUCCUCGAACGGUGUGCUCCAGGAUGCUUGGUCCACGAUGAGAGCCUCAGAAUCCAGCUGAGCACUGCUUGGGUGUGAACUUCCCUGCCUGUUUCCCUGCACAGGUUCCUCAGGCACAAGACUCUGCAGGCUAUUUUGGUUGGUCCUGCCAUGAAGAUUACUGCAAAUCCACUGAGGAAAAAAACCAAGGAGGCAUCAGAAGCUAAUAUUGGUGACGAGAAGGAUAAAAGCAGAAACCCAGCAACAAAUACUUUGCCUGUUUGAGCGAGAGACUUGAAACUUUCCCCAGCUUGGAAGAGGGUGCAGAGCAAUCAGAAAAUCUGCACAAGAAGAAAAUGAAGCCAGCACUUUCAUUCAGAAGUUAAUAGCAGACCCUUCUUUGCACCUGCCA